rnacentral:rRNA from 1 species
UACUCGAGUGGCGAACGGGUGAGUAACACGUGGGUGAUCUGCCCUGCACUCUGGGAUAAGCCUGGGAAACUGGGUCUAAUACCGGAUAGGACCAUGCUUUAGUGUGUGUGGUGGAAAGUUUUUUCGGUGUAGGAUGAGCCCGCGGCCUAUCAGCUUGUUGGUGGGGUAAUGGCCUACCAAGGCGGCGACGGGUAGCCGGACUGAGAGGUUGGUCGGCCACAUUUGGACUGAGAUACGGCCCAG